ACGAACGCUGGCGGCGUGCUUAACACAUGCCAGUCGAGCGGAAAGGCCCUUCGGGGUACUCGAGCGGCGAACGGGUGAGUAACACGUGAGUAACCUGCCCCAGACUUUGGGAUAACCCUCGGAAACGGGGGCUAAUACCGGAUACGACACAGCUUCGCAUGGGGUCUGUGUGGAAAGUUUUUCGGUUUGGGAUGGGCUCGCGGCCUAUCAGCUUGUUGGUGGGGUGAUGGCCUACCAAGGCGACGACGGGUAGCCGGCCUGAGAGGGCGACCGGCCACACUGGGACUGAGACACGGCCCAGACUCCUACGGGAGGCAGCAGUGGGGAAUAUUGCACAAUGGGCGGAAGCCUGAUGCAGCGACGCCGCGUGAGGGAUGACGGCCUUCGGGUUGUAAACCUCUUUCAGCAGGGACGAAGCGUAAGUGACGGUACCUGCAGAAGAAGCGCCGGCCAACUACGUG
rnacentral:rRNA from 1 species